GGAAAAAUGUGUGAGUGUGUGCUUAAAAGUGAUUUAUUUUAUGUUGGCAAUACUAAGCGGAAAUGAUCAUAUGAAAUGCUUUAAUUUUGUAGCUACAACAAAGUGUUUGUGACAACAAAUAGCCAGAAUUUUUAUCACCCAUGAAGAUGUAAAUUCAAUAUUUAAACCACCCAACAAUUUGACCGUUCAUGCAUUCAACCAAUUCACAAGACACAAACAAAACAACAACUCAACAUCAUCUUAACGUGUGUGUGUAUGUGUUUUAAUACAUUCAACCAUUUUACGCUUUGAAGGAAUAAAAAAAAUAAAUAAAUGAUCGGUAAAUUUAAAAGGAAAUUAAAUCCGAAAAUGAGGAAAUCAAACAAAUCAUAAAACAGCAAACAUGCACAGACAAAAUACAUCUUAGAAUUUAAGGUGGCUUAAAACGAGAAAGUAAAACAGAUGAUGACGAACCUGAUGAUGAUCUUUAGAACCUGUAAAAGCAAAGAUUGCAGUACACCAUCACCAGCAGCAUCAACUAACAUUAUCGACAUUUUCAACAUCAAGUAGUGUGUUCUGCCACGACCUACGAUGUUGAUAAAUGUUUGUUGGCGGCGUUGCUUUAUAUGAAAAAAGAGUUGAAAUUCCCAUGAAAGUGAGCAAACAUAAUAAAAUAGACAAUAUUCAACACUUCAUGUUCAUCAGCUAAACUGCUGCCGCUGCUGUUGGUUGUUGUUUGUCUAUGGCAAAUGGCUGGAUUAAUGCUCUUAUCCAGAGAUAUGGAUAUACAUAGAUGGAUGUAUCGAUGGAUGGAUGAAUGAUGACUUCAUGUUGAAAGAAAGUGAAGGCAUGCAGUAAAAAUGUGGACGUGCAACUAUCAAAGGGUAUUGUCUAUGAAGCUAACAAAUACCAACAGGUGUCAUAAACAAUUAGAGGAUUUGGCGUAAAAUUUCUUUUAGAGGUUGCUUAUAAUGGUCAAAUGGCAUCUAAACAGAUAUCGGUUUAGUAUAAGAAAUAAAAAAGAAUCGAAUCUUGAAUAUUUCUUCAAAAUUUUAAUAAGUAUUAGUAUACUAAGGCAAUUCGUUCCGAAAUAUCACUGAUAUAUGAAGUUGAGGCCAUACAAAUCAGUGGUCAGCACGAAGAUAACAUGACGCAUAUACAUAUGUAUAAGUAUUCUAUAAAUAAUUUGCUCAUCUCCAAGAAAAUCUAUGACAUUCGAAAUUUAACGGUCACUAGUUGUGCACAAACCAUUAUCCGUUCGUUAACAAAAUAUUGAACUGAUUAACAUCCCAGCCCGAACAUAGUUCUAAACAUUACGAUUUUUACUACUUAAGAUUAAAGGACACUAUCAAAAUAUUGAAAUGUUUAGUGUUUACCAUUAUUUACAUGAACCAAAGCCACAAUCAACAUAUCAAAAGGGACAAUAUUUAAAUUGGUUUUGACACACAACAAAGAUGUCUGGCUGACAGCGUACAAACACAACGAAACGGUCCAGCGAACUCUUGAUUUGUACAUUAAAGGGGAUGGAUGCAUUUAACAGGUCAUCAUCAUGAUCUUCACGGAUACCUCUUCAUUGUGAGCAGCUUAAUAUUUAUUAUAAACAUUGUGUGUUGGUCAAUGUUUGUUAUGACGUUUGAAUGAAGAAUGAUUUUUGUUGUGGUCGAAAGUACAAAUGUUGAAGAAAUAUUGUUUAUUCAUCACAUGAGUAUGACGACGACGUCAGCGAUCCAUCUUCAUCGACAAUUGAAAAGAAAAACAAAGAUCAAACAUUAACUGAAGCAAGAAGGAGAUUUAAAAUAUUUAUUGUUGCUGAGAUGACAUGAUGAUGCCAAGGAAAACUCAAAAUUAAAUAUUUGAUUAAGAUUUGAAAACAUUUUACUUUUAUUUUUUAUGUAUUUUACAUAUACAUAUGUAUGUAGAAAAUAUUUUGUAGCAAAAUGUAGAAUUUAUUAUUGAAUUGUAAUAUAAGUAUAAGA